ACAGGGGGGAGCAAGCGUUGUUCGGAAUUACUGGGCGUAAAGGGCGCGUAGGCGGCACAGCAAGUCGGGAGUGAAAGCCCGGGGCUCAACCCCGGAACUGCUUUCGAAACUGCUGAGCUAGAGUGCGGAAGAGGCAACUGGAAUUCCCAGUGUAGCGGUGAAAUGCGUAGAUAUUGGGAAGAACACCGGAGGCGAAGGCGGGUUGCUGGGCCGACACUGACGCUGAGGAGCGAAAGCGUGGGGAGCGAACAGGA
rnacentral:rRNA from 1 species